rnacentral:rRNA from 1 species
AAACUGCGAAUGGCUCAUUAAAUCAGUUAUCGUUUAUUUGAUAGUACCUUACUACAUGGAUACCUGUGGUAAUUCUAGAGCUAAUACAUGCUAAAAACCCCGACUUCGGGAGGGGUGUAUUUAUUAGAUAAAAAACCAAUGCCCUUCGGGGCUCCUUGGUGAAUCAUAAUAACUUAACGAAUCGCAUGGCCUUGCGCCGGCGAUGGUUCAUUCAAAUUUCUGCCCUAUCAACUUUCGAUGGUAGGAUAGUGGCCUACCAUGGUAGCAACGGGUAACGGGGAAUUAGGGUUCGACUCCGGAGAGGGAGCCUGAGAAACGGCUACCACAUCCAAGGAAGGCAGCAGGCGCGCAAAUUACCCAAUCCCGAUACGGGGAGGUAGUGACAAUAAAUACUGAUACAGGGCUCUUUUGGGUCUUGUAAUUGGAAUGAGUACAAUUUAAAUCCCUUAACGAGGAACAAUUGGAGGGCAAGUCUGGUGCCAGCAGCCGCGGUAAUUCCAGCUCCAAUAGCGUAUAUUAAAGUUGUUGCAGUUAAAAAGCUCGUAGUUGAACCUUGGGCCUGGCUGGCCGGUCCGCCUCACCGCGUGUACUGGUCCGGCCGGGCCUUUCCUUCUGGGGAGCCGCAUGGCCUUCACUGGCCGUGUCGGGGAACCAGGACUUUUACUGUGAAAAAAUUAGAGUGUUCAAAGCAGGCCUUUGCUCGAAUACAUUAGCAUGGAAUAAUAGAAUAGGACGUGCGGUUCUAUUUUGUUGGUUUCUAGGGCCGCCGUAAUGAUUAAUAGGGAUAGUCGGGGGCAUUAGUAUUCAAUUGUCAGAGGUGAAAUUCUUGGAUUUAUUGAAGACUAACUACUGCGAAAGCAUUUGCCAAGGAUGUUUUCAUUAAUCAGUGAACGAAAGUUAGGGGAUCGAAGACGAUCAGAUACCGUCGUAGUCUUAACCAUAAACUAUGCCGACUAGGGAUCGGUGGGUGUUACUGUUAUGACCCCAUCGGCACCUUACGAGAAAUCAAAGUCUUUGGGUUCUGGGGG